rnacentral:rRNA from 1 species
UGUCCGGUGAACGUAGGGGAACGACGAACGGCUCAGCAGUUCUGCGAUGAUUUGCUCUCUGCGGACGAUAAGCACGGGAAAGUGGGGCUAAGAGCGGAGAAUAAGACGCGGACCUAUCAGGUUGUUGGCAGUGUAAUGGACUACCAAGGCGGUGACGGGAGAUAGGGGUCUGAUUCCGGAGAGGGAGCCUGAGAGAUGGCUCCCACGUCCAUGGACGGCAGCAGGCGCGGAAAUUGCGCACUCCCGAGGCAGUUAUGAGACGUGGCUCAGGACCCGACAGCAGAGGUGUUGGGGUGAGGCGACCGGAGGGCAAGUUUGGUGCCAGCAGCCGCGG